rnacentral:misc_RNA from 1 species
GCCAUGACAAAUUGGCAAUCACUUGAAUCCAAAUUUUUUUAUUUUCUUGAAAGAAAUUUUCAAAAUUUGUAAUUUUCUUAAAACGUCAAGAAAAUUCCCUCCAACUUAUAACCUGAAAAUUUCAAAUUAUUCAUGCGUUUCUUCUCUCGAACCCGCUAAUCCCAAUCGCUCGCACACGCCGUAUGCUCUGCACUUUUAAUCACAGCCACUAAAGCUCUUGCACACAUCAUCGAAUGGCCAAUUGCCCAACAGAUCACAAUAGCUGUUAAACAUAUUAUUAACCACGCAUGAUCCUUAGAUGUGGGGCCCCACGGUGCACCAAUCGGAAUAUACACGAGUGCACUCAGUCAUUUCUCUCCCAAUCAUCGCUAUGUCGAUAUAAGACCCUGUUUUCGCCACUGCAUACUAGAAUCCACUGAGAAGUGAGAGGAUUCAUAAAAGGUAUUUAUAGAGAGAGAGCGAUAAUGGCGGGCAGAUGGUCCACGUCAGCAUUUAGGUGGCUGGGAUUGGACUUCGCUUACUCUUCCCUCCGAUCGUCGUCGUCGAUCAUCCGGUGGCCGCAGUUCAUGUCGUCCUCGUUCUUAUCGACGAGGUGGGCUCCAAGGGGAGUACUGAUGAGUUGGGACCCACAGUGGUUCUUGAGGUGGCCUGAUCUGGAUUUCUCGAUAGUAGACGACGUUGUUUGGAGCUUGAUCACA